rnacentral:rRNA from 1 species
CUGUNGUCAGCUCGUGUCGUGAGAUGUUGGGUUAAGUCCCGCAACGAGCGCAACCCUUGUUCACUGUUGCCAGCACGUUAUGGUGGGGACUCAGUGGAGACCGCCGGGGUCAACUCGGAGGAAGGUGGGGAUGACGUCAAGUCAUCAUGCCCCUUAUGUCCAGGGCUUCACGCAUGCUACAAUGGCUGGUACAGAGAGUGGCGAGCCUGUGAGGGUGAGCGAAUCUCGGAAAGCCGGUCUCAGUUCGGAUUGGGGUCUGCAACUCGACCUCAUGAAGUCGGAGUCGCUAGUAAUCGCAGAUCAGCAACGCUGCGGUGAAUACGUUCCCGGGGCUUGUACACACCGCCCGU